CGGACGGGUGAGUAAUGCUUGGGAAUCUGGCUUAUGGAGGGGGAUAACUACUGGAAACUGUGGCUAAUACCGCGUGAUAUCUUCGGAUUAAAGGGUGGGAUUUUCGGACCUCCUGCCAUAAGAUGAGCCCAUGUGGGAUUAGGUAGUUGGUGGGGUAAAGGCCUACCUAGCCGACGAUCUCUAGCUGGUCUGAGAGGAUGACCAGCCACACUGGAACUGAGACACGGUCCAGACUCCUACGGGAGGCAGCAGUGGGGAAUAUUGCACAAUGGGGGGAACCCUGAUGCAGCCAUGCCGCGUGAAUGAAGAAGGUCUUCGGGUUGUAAAGUUCUUUCGGUGAUGAGGAAGGGUGGUGUUUUAAUACAACAUUACAUUGACGUUAGUCACAGAAGAAGCACCGGCUAACUCCGUGCCAGCAGCCGCGGUAAUACGGAGGGUGCGAGCGUUAAUCGGAAUGACUGGGCGUAAAGGGCACGCAGGCGGUGACUUAAGUGAGAUGUGAAAGCCCCGAGCUUAACUUGGGAAUUGCAUUUCAUACUGGGUUGCUAGAGUAUUUUAGAGAGGGGUAGAAUUC
rnacentral:rRNA from 1 species